rnacentral:lncRNA from 1 species
UUACGAAAAUAUAACUUUCUGUUCCGAGUACGCGAGGCCUGCAGCCUCACAUUAAAAGGACUCAGAUAAUAAGCUGUUCCGGGUACAUUAGGGCGACGGUCCGAUGUCAGAAGGAUUCAGAUAAUAAGCUGUUCCGAGGACGUGAGGACGACGGUUCCACGUUAAAAGGACUAACAUGUCAACUACAGAACUAAGCCAACCUCAGCGUGAGCUUUGGUUGCGAAUGCUAUGAACUUUGAACUCUUAUUCACUACAGAAGUGAUACCUCCUAGCCGUUGAGUUAGCAGCGGCUGUUCCGCAAAUGUGGGCUAGGAAAGGACGGACGACGGAUCCAGUCUAACACACAACGAUGAUACUACAACGUAUCCAGUUUACCACCAGAGACAUUCUUCCGAGGACAGGAAGAUCUGUCGGGCGACAUGGCCUUCCAUCUACAACCAACCUAUUGAGGCGCAGUUAAGAUUCCUACAAGCAGAUGUCAAACUUGAGCCCCUCCAGCUGAUCACACCUCAGUUUGAGACUCCCCUUCCCCAGCUAGAGCCUGCUGUCUUUCUGCCUGUCUUCAGGGACCUGCCUCCCC